GUUAAACAUGAUUUACAAUCGUUUUUU
rnacentral:snRNA from 1 species